rnacentral:rRNA from 1 species
AUUGAACGCUGGCGGCAGGCCUAACACAUGCAGGUCGAGCGGAUGAGUGGAGCUUGCUCCAUGAUUCAGCGGCGGACGGGUGAGUAAUGCCUAGGAAUCUGCCUGGUAGUGGGGGACAACGUUUCGAAAGGAACGCUAAUACCGCAUACGUCCUACGGGAGAAAGUGGGGGAUCUUCGGACCUCACGCUAUCAGAUGAGCCUAGGUCGGAUUAGCUAGUUGGUGAGGUAAAGGCUCACCAAGGCGACGAUCCGUAACUGGUCUGAGAGGAUGAUCAGUCAAACUGGAACUGAGACACGGUCCAGACUCCUACGGGAGGCAGCAGUGGGGAAUAUUGGACAAUGGGCGAAAGCCUGAUCCAGCCAUGCCGCGUGUGUGAAGAAGGUCUUCGGAUUGUAAAGCACUUUAAGUUGGGAGGAAGGGCAGUAAGUUAAUACCUUGCUGUUUUGACGUUACCAACAGAAUAAGCACCGGCUAACUUCGUG